rnacentral:rRNA from 1 species
AAUCAACGCUGGCGGCGUGCCUCAGACAUGCAAGUCGAACGCGAAAGUCCCCUUCGGGGGAUGAUUAGAGUGGCGUCCGGGUGAGUAACACGUGGGUAAUCUACCUUCGGGUGGGGAAUAACAGUCGGAAACGACUGCUAAUACCGCAUAAUGCAGCGGCACCUAAUGGUGACAGUUGUUAAAGCGGGGGAUCGCAAGACCUCGCGCCUGAAGAGGAGCCCGCGGCGGAUUAGCUAGUUGGCAGGGUAACGCCUACCAAGGCGACGAUCCGUAGCCGGCCUGAGAGGGCGGUCGGCCACACU